ACGUUAGCUGCAGAAGAAGCACCGGCUAACUCCGUGCCAGCAGCCGCGGUAAUACGGAGGGUGCGAGCGUUAAUCGGAAUUACUGGGCGUAAAGCGCAUGCAGGUGGUUUGUUAAGUCAGAUGUGAAAGCCCGGGGCUCAACCUCGGAAUUGCAUUUGAAACUGGCAAACUAGAGUACUGUAGAGGGGGUAGAAUUUCAGGUGUAGCGGUGAAAUGCGUAGAGAUCUGAAGGAAUACCGGUGGCGAAGGCGGCCCCCUCGGACAGAUACUGACACUCAGAUGCGAAAGCGUGGGGAGCAAACAGGAUUAGUUACCCUGGUAG
rnacentral:rRNA from 1 species